GCGGGCUGGUCGAGGCGCACGGCGGCCGGGUCCGGGCCGGCAACAUCCGGGGCGGCUGCCGCUUCGAGGUGCGGCUGCCCGCUC
rnacentral:tRNA from 1 species